UAUGGAGAGUUUGAUCCUGGCUCAGGACGAACGCUGGCGGCGUGCUUAACACAUGCAAGUCGAACGGAAAGGCCCCUUCGGGGGUACUCGAGUGGCGAACGGGUGAGUAACACGUGGGCAAUCUGCCCUGCACUUCGGGAUAAGCCUGGGAAACUGGGUCUAAUACCGGAUAGGACCACUUGGCGCAUGCCUUGUGGUGGAAAGCUUUUGCGGUGUGGGAUGGGCCCGCGGCCUAUCAGCUUGUUGGUGGGGUGAUGGCCUACCAAGGCGACGACGGGUGGCCGGCCUGAGAGGGUGUCCGGCCACACUGGGACUGAGAUACGGCCCAGACUCCUACGGGAGGCAGCAGUGGGGAAUAUUGCACAAUGGGCGCAAGCGUGAUGCAGCGACGCCGCGUGGGGGAUGACGGCCUUCGGGUUGUAAACCUCUUUCACCAUCGACGAAGGCUCACUUCGUGAGUUGACGGUAGGUGAGAAGAAGCACCGGCUAAUACGUGCCAGCAGCCGCGGUA
rnacentral:rRNA from 1 species